AGAGGGAAGUUUUUUAAUAAUAAGGGGGUGGUGACAGGAGGAAUGAACAGGUAGAAAAAAGUGACAAUUGGGAAAUUAGCAAUUAGCGAUGGAGAGAC